AUAGUCCAUUUUUAAAAGUUCAGCAGACAGGUGCUCUGCUUUGGAGUGUGACGAUGUCGUCGGUGAUGUGGAGAGUGAAGUUUCUGUUUCAUCCACAGCCUGCUUUAGGGCAGCCGGAUCGGACUUGAUGUUUGAAAUACUGACCCACAGCUCAGAUUUAACUGUCUGUAGUUCUGUUUUGAUGGAUGUUAAAUUUUCACUCAAAGCUGCCAGGAGCUGGGUCUUUAAAAUAACCGCCGUCUCGUUACAGAGUGAAAGUAGCAGUUCCUCCUGAAGGUCAGAGAUUGCAGCAUCUGAGGGCCUCUUCAAAAGAAGACGUAGUUGAUGAAGGCGUUCUGGAGCAGGACCAGAAAGACCACGACCAAGCAGCCUUGAGAUCUUAGGCAGCGUCUCCCUCAGACCAAAGAACGACAGACUCUUCACAACCUGCUCAAACUCUUGGUACAGGACCUCACCACACGGGUCAAGAAGGUUUCCAUCUCAUUUCUACUCUGAAGCUCACCUUCUCCUGCUCAAACUGCUGACAAAUGUUUCUGCUACUCUAAAGUCUGGUCUCCAGAACUUCCUAAAAACUCUCAAAGUCUCUUCUGCUGCAGGUUGCUUUGUAGAACUGUUCCAGAAAACCUCACUAAACCACAUGGAGGAGCCUCAAGAUAGUCGUCCAAAUGAAACCGUACAAAAACCAAACUAGCACAACCCAAACACUAAAGUCUCCUGCAGCCUACCAGAGAACCUCUGAGAACAGAGAAUCAGGACAGGAACUCUUACCUUCUGGACAACCAACGCUGGUUCUCAAACAAGAAUACAGAAUGUGUCUGACCAAAAACCUCUGAAGACUCACUACAGCCAAGAUAAAGACACAGCUGCACCAAAUCCACUAAUCACUGCACACAUUAGCACCAUGUGCUAACUGUGGCUAAAGAACCACCUUUACCAAGACAACUAUCCAGUACAAAGCCCUAAAACACACCAAGAAACACAUUAAAGACGAUUUUACUGCUGGAAGCUGCAAGCCAACGCCUAAAGAACAAACUAAAGCAAUGGAACCAAACCCAGUUCACUGGUGAAGAGAAACAGAGGAAAUGUUUGUCUGCAGCUAAAUAAAGCAGGAAGACACUGAGCUGCUCAGGUGUUCCUGAUAACACCAAGCAGCCACCUGGACAGCCAAUAGGAACACAGCUUCCUGGAAGUCCAGAGGGCGGGGUUAGUCAAGGAAAUUUAGUUUAAAGUUGAAGCAGAAAGUUAACAAA